UAAAGAUGAAGGUUAAUUCAUGCAGAAAGAAGACUCAGUUCCUUGUUGAUAAGUAUGGUUGGCUAUCAGGGAACUGCAAAAUAUGCUAAUGGAGUUAUUGUUUACUUUAACAUAUUAGUGCUGGAGAGUCCACGCUACAGACAAUCUCUUCCCGGGGGCUGGAGGCACCUUUGGGAGAAGAAAGGCAGAUGAAAAAGAGAACAUGAUGUGAGCACUGAAAAGACAAGAGGCACACAAAAAAAUGUGAACUGCUGAAUUUACUGUCUGGCUAUAAUGAGGUAUUGCUUAACAAUUAAGUUAAAUUAUGCAGCUGUUUCCUAGUAUAUUGUGCUAAUGCAUCUGAGAAAUUAUAAUUU
rnacentral:lncRNA from 1 species